rnacentral:lncRNA from 10 species
CAAGGAAAGAAAUCAUAUACAGAUUUUUUAAAUUAAUGUUUUCUCAUCCACUGCUAAUAACAGCUUAGAUUAUUAAAAAGAAAGAAUCUUAAAUAUGCAACUCACCUUCAGGUCUUGAUACUGCUUGUUUUCUUUUACACAUUUUGCAAAACUUGACAAUCUAGAAAUAUCAUCUGUACUCACUUUCAAUUCCUCAUUUUUAUACCAGAGCUGAGCUUUUGUGUUGGGAUCUAUGACAUAUCAGGACCGGCAGCAUGAUAUAGGGGAAAAAAUGGAAGCUUUGAAGCUGCAUAUAUUUUAGUUUAAAAUCCAAGUAAGCCUUUUACUAGCUGAGGAUGGUAGUAUCUAAUUAGAAAGCAAUUUUAAUCAUGGUUUUUAAAUUUUCUACAUAGAGAUGGCAAAUAAAUGUAGUGGAUAGUUAUUGUGAACUAGGCACUACGCUAAACACUUCACUUUGUUAUCACAUUUAAUCUUGACAACAGUUCUAUAAAAUAGGCCUUAUUAUUUUCUCCAUUUUACAGAUAAGCCAAUUGAGACUUAAAUGAGCUAACCUGCUCAAGGACAUUCGAUGAAUAAGUUAGGGGUCAAACCUAUGUGUUUGACUCUAAAGACUCCCUUCACCAUUGUCGUAUACUGCCUCCCAUAUAGAUCACCUCCAAUCCCAGUCGCAGCAUCUACAAGGAAUACAGCAGAGUGACUAUUCCAGUUUGAAAGGACAUUCAAGAGCACAAAAGACCAGUGACUUCUGGGGAUAUUUCCUGAUGUUCUUGGCACUUUUACAAUUUCUGCUGUUUUUCCUUUUUUACGUAAAUCCUCCCCUAGUAACCAGCAUGGGGUAUUUCUGAAGUUCAUUUAGUGCCAUUUUUCUGUAUUGUCCAACAGAUUGUUUCUAGUACCUUCUGAUGUGUGGCAGCUGUGUUUUAACAAUUCCAAGUAUACCAUAUGAAAGUAAUCAAAGACAUUAACACACUAGUGUCCGCAGCUCUAGGGGUAUUUCCUGCAUGUGGUACUGGUAGGCCAUGUGAAGUUGUACAUAAAUUACUUUGUUUUGUUUUUUUGGUUUGGGGUAUUUUUUUGCUUGUUUUGUUUUGUUCUUAGCAUGCUGAAGUGUUCUCUAAAUAUAUGUGAACUCAUCACAUGCUUGUAUUUGUGGAUCCAUGAUUCUGUGGACAUAGCUAGCUACAAAGAGCAUCAUACAAAAAUCAGCAUUCAAGUAUAAUGUUUACAGAGCAUAGAAUAUUUCACAUAUUAAUCUGUGCAAAGUGAUCUCAGAUUCCCAAAGGAGGAAAUAGUUAAAGUUUAGUGUUUUCUCUGAUAUAGUGUACCCUGGGUAGGGCAGUAAUGGCUAACUACAUAACAUCCUAAUGUAAGCAGUUAUUGGGAAAUGUUUCACAUACAGUAUUUUAUUAUAGUAAGAUUGCACUGUACUUAAAGUAAAUAUCCCUGGAUCCCCUCCAAAGCUGAAAGAAUGUAGUUAGGUUACAGAAUCUGCUCACUCAGCAAUCUGUCUUAUAAUAAAUUAGGGUUUUGAAAAAAGGGCUGUUUUGUUUAUCACAAAAGGUAGGGAGAAGUAAAGAGUAACCUGAAAAAAGUAUACUUUCAAAGUUUGUCAAUAAGGCAGUAGGUUGUACAAUCUUGAAAGAAUGGAUAAUCAUAUGUACAUUGUAUUACCUCACUGAUUGCAAUAUCGAUUAUAUCAUAUAAGCAAAGUAGCCAAGGAUGAAGCUUAGAAAUUAAAUAUCCAGAUGUGACAGGUGCCAUCAUAAGUCGUAUUUUAAGAUUUAAGUCUAGCUUAUCGUAUAUACAAUUUCAC